GUGUCAGCCGCCGCGGUAAGACGUAGGGGGCGAGCGUUGUCCGGAAUUACUGGGCGUAAAGAGCACGUAGGCGGGUAUUUAAGUCAGGUGUGAAAGACCGCGGCCCAACUGCGGGGUUGCACUUGAAACUGGAUAUCUUGAGGGCAGGAGAGGUCAGUGGAAUUCCUGGUGUAGCGGUGAAAUGCGUAGAUAUCAGGAGGAACACCAGUGGCGAAGGCGACUGACUGGACUGACCCUGACGCUGAGGUGCGAAAGCGUGGGUAGCAAACAGGAUUAGAUACCCUGGUAGUCCACGCCGUAAACGAUGGAUACUAGGUGUGGGAGGUAUCGACCCCUUCCGUGCCGAAGUUAACGCGAUAAGCACCUCGCCUGGGGAGUACGGUCGCAAGGCUGAAACUCAAAGAAAUUGGCGG
rnacentral:rRNA from 1 species